rnacentral:rRNA from 1 species
GACGAACGCUAGCGGCGUGCCUAAGGUAUGCAAGUCGAACGGGGAAGCAAUUCCUAGUGGCGAACGGUCGAGUAACACGUAGACAACCUGCCUCCCAGCGGGGGAGUACCCGCGGGAAACCGCGGCUAAUACCGCAUGCGAUCCGGAAGGGCGAGCCUUCUUGGAUGAAAGGAGCUUGCUCCACUGGGAGAUGGGUCUGCGGCCUAUCAGCUCGUUGGCGGGGUAACGGCCCACCAAGGCAACGACGGGUAGCUGGUCUGAGAGGAUGGCCAGCCACAUUGGGACUGAGAGACGGCCCAGACUCCUACGGGAGGCAGCAGUGGGG